rnacentral:rRNA from 1 species
GACAGAGGGUGCAAACGUUGUUCGGAUUUACUGGGCGUAAAGCGCGUGUAGGCGGCUUGGCAAGUUGGAUGUGAAAGCCCACGGCUCAACCGUGGAAGAGCAUCCAAAACUGCUUCGCUCGAGUCUCGGAGAGGAAGGUGGAAUGCUUGGUGUAGAGGUGAAAUUCGUAGAUAUUGGCUAGAACACCAGUGGCGAAGGCGGCGACCUGGGAAGAUACUGACGCUGAGAUGCGAAAGCGUGGGGAGCAAACAGG